GCCUAACAUCAUCCUUUCUUACACAGAAGAGGCCAGGGGACAGGUGGAGCCCAGGACAGGAAUGAAACACAAUGUGAGAGAUGAAAGGCUGGAGAUGAUUUAGUCCAAAUUGAAGCCCAGAUGGUAAAAUAACUUGUUUGCAAAUUUCUUAUGGAAAGAACAACAACCGCGUCAAAAAGCUACAGAAAAAGAAGACCCACAAAGAUGCAGUCUUCCGCAGGGGAGAGGGGACUUUCACAGAAAACAGAUCUGACCAGGAACACAGACAGUGGGAUGGCAUCCACAUGUAGCCAGGACAAAUCCAUACUUCCACUGCUCUCUGGUUACGUCAUUAGGUAAGCUGCUUUUUACAUUGUACAUGGGGCAUUUGCUUCUCUGUUAUCUCUGCUGUAAGUCUCUGUUCUGGCCAUGUCCACCGCAGAAUGCUUUUGUUAUUGGACUCCUCCCCUACUGGAUGCAUCAUCUGCUGGUGCUGGGCGUCUCUAGUAAGA